GACCCAGCUCACCAGGGCCAUCAGCAGCCCCAGAAGAAUGAGGAAGAUCCAGUCCUCUCCCACGCGUGAGAUCAAGAACUUCUGGCAUCUGGACGCACAUGCUGCGAAAACAUUGAUGGCAGAGAGGGGGAGAGACAGGGGGCUGACCGGGCAGAUGCCUACUGUGAGGCCACCUGCUGGAUGGCCCUCUGCCCACAGCUAUCAAACCACAACUCUUCAAUCUAUACGUUGAAAAACACCCCUCCAAACCAUCAUGUAACCGCAAAUAUUCUCCAAAAUGCGGGCGAGGCCGGGGCUGAUUUGGAGAAGCUUCCACCUGUGGAGCCAUCUACAUGACGGUAAUCAGAUGAACGCCAUUCUAUGCUCCUCUGAAAGAGCAAGAGGCACCAGAUGGAUGUGGUGAUGAGAUAAAAAUAGACAUAGACCUUGUUCACUGCCGUUCGCUGCCGUGCUAUGUUCUCAAUCCUAAAGCUGGUACCUGUGUUGACCAUGUCAAAUUUCCACAGACCAAAUCCGAGGUUAUAGGAACAUGCAAAACAGCUUAAACUGUAUGUUUUUAACCCUGACUCAAUUCAUUUCAUGGAUUCAUUUGGCUCAGUGCCCCAAUCCUUCGAUCCAACCACCUACACACCCCCUCCUCCAUGCAUUUAGUCAACCCAACAUGUCCAUCCUCUCAGAAUAUGCAUCCAUCCAUCAACCAUCCAACAUUUCAUCCAUCCAUUUAUCCAACCAUUUGCAUGUCUUUCCAUUGAUGCCACCAACGUCCACUGAUUCAUCAAUCAUUCAUCCAUUUUUUCACCCAUCCAACCAGGAGUCCAGUCAUAAAACAUUCUCUUAUUUUUCCCUGCAUGAGAGAAGUGCCCCUUCUUGAACACAUUCUUC